CGGGGUAAUUCGUUGGCGGGUUAAUACCGACCUGCAUGAAUGGCGUAGCGAGAUGGGAGCUGUGCUCAACCAGAGAUUCAGUGAAAUUGUAGUGGAGGUGAAAAUUCCUCCUACCCGCGGCAAGACGGGAAGACCCCGUGGACCUUUACUACAACUUAGCACUGCUAAUGGGAAUAUCAUGCGCAGGAUAGGUGGGAGGCUUUGAAGUAAGGGCUUUGGCUCUUAUGGAGCCAUCCUUGAGAUACCACCCUUGAUGUUUCUGUUAGCUAAA
rnacentral:rRNA from 1 species